rnacentral:rRNA from 1 species
AACGAACGCUGGCGGCAUGCCUAACACAUGCAAGUCGAACGAGACCUUCGGGUCUAGUGGCGCACGGGUGCGUAACGCGUGGGAAUCUGCCCUUGGGUGCGGAAUAACAGUUAGAAAUGACUGCUAAUACCGCAUAAUGACUCCGGUCCAAAGAUUUAUCGCCCAGGGAUGAGCCCGCGUCGGAUUAGCUAGUUGGUAGGGUAAAAGCCUACCAAGGCAACGAUCCGUAGCUGGUCUGAGAGGAUGAGCAGCCACACUGGAACUGAGACACGGCCCAGACUCCUACGAGAGGCAGCAGUGGGGAAUAUUGGACAAUGGGCGAAAGCCUGAUCCAGCAAUGCCGAGUGAGUGAUGAAGGCCUUAGGGUUGUAAAGCUCUUUUACCCGGGAUGAUAAUGACAGUACCGGGAGAAUAAGCCCCGGCUAACUCCGUGCCAGCCGCCGCCGUAACAC